GAUGAACGCUGGCGGCGUGCCUUAUACAUGCAAGUCGAGCGAACCGGGGACGGGUGAGUAACACGUAGAUACCCUCCUAUAAGACUGGGAUAACUUCGGGAAACCUGAUCUAAACAGGCUACUUAUAGAUGGAUCCGUGCUGCAUUAGUUAGUUGGUACGGUAACGGCUUACCAAGGCAACGAUGCAUAGCCGACCUGCGAGGAUGACCGGCCCAACUGGAACUGAGACACGGUCCAGACUCCUACGGGAGGCAGCAGUAGGGAAUCUUGCGCAAUGGGCGAAAGCCUGACGGAGCAACGCCGCGUGAGUGAUGAAGGUCUUCGGAUUGUAAAACUCUGUUAUUAGGAAAGCGGUACCUAAACAGAAAGCAACGGCUAACUACGUGCCAGCAGCCGCGGUAAUAC
rnacentral:rRNA from 1 species